rnacentral:rRNA from 1 species
UACGUAGGGUGCGAGCGUUGUCCGGAAUUAUUGGGCGUAAAGAGCUCGUAGGCGGUCUGUCGCGUCGAUCGUGAAAACUUGGGGCUUAACCCUGAGCUUGCGGUCGAUACGGGCAUGACUGGAGUUCGGCAGGGGAGACUGGAAUUCCUGGUGUAGCGGUGAAAUGCGCAGAUAUCAGGAAGAACACCCGUGGCGAAGGCGGCUCUCUGGGACGGUACUGACGCUGAGACGCGAAAGCGUGGGGAGCAAACAGG